GAUGAACGCUGGCGGCGUGCCUAACACAUGCAAGUCGAACGAAAGGACGAGAAGCUUGCUUCUUUGACGUUAGCGGCGGAGGGGUGAGUAACAUGUGGAUAACCCACCUAUAAGACGGGGAAAACCUAGGGAAACCGGAGCUAAUACCGGAUGAUAUUCUGAAGAGCAUGGUUGAAAAGUGAAAGACGGUCUUGCUGUCACUUAUCGCUGUAUCUGCGCUGCAUUAGCUAGUUGGUAAGGUAACGGCUUACCAAGGCAACGAUGCAUAGCCGACCUGAUAGGGGGAUCGGCCACACUGGAACUGGGACACGGUCCAGACUCCUACGAGAGGCAGCAGUAGGGAAUCUUCCGCAAUGGGCGGAAGCCUGACGGAGCAACGCCGCGUGAGUGAUGAAGGUCUUCGGAUCGUAAAGCUCUGUUAUUAGGGAAGAACAGAUGUGUAAGUAACUGUGCACAUCUUGACGGUACCUAAUCAGAAAGCCACGGCUAACUACGUG
rnacentral:rRNA from 1 species